rnacentral:tRNA from 1 species
CAUUAGGUGGCUGAAAAAUAAGUAAUGGUCUCUUAAACCAUCCUAUAGUAAAUAAUAACUACUUCUAAUGG